CAACACCACACGUUGAGGAGGAAACACAAACCAGGAGAAAAUAACUAACGUGAGGACCAAGCUGCCAAGGAAAAUAUCUUAUGUUUUAUGGAAAUGACACCCUGAGUGAAGCAAAACAGCUUCAUGGUGACGUGGGGCACUGUACUACGAGCCAAAAGGACGCCGAUUCGAU